AUUCUUAAGUUUUCUUUAGAAAAAAUCCUUCUCAAAGAUUUCUCUCUUUUUCUUUUCUUAAAGGAAGUUUACAUUUGCAAAGCUGAAGAAGUUAGAAAACAGUGAAAGUUGAAGUCACAUCUGCUUCCUGGCUGUUUGCUCAUGCUCCUGGAUAAGAUCAAAAACAGCCGCUUAUUGGAGAUAUCUAAAAAAAAUGACUUCUGGGCUAAAAUGGUGUGAACAAGGGGAUGAUCAGGAGCAAAGAGAAAUCUGAAGUUUGAAGAGAUGCGGAGAAGAGGAGCAAAUGGAACCUUCACAAGACCUCGGGGGAUGGGAUGGAGUUUCAGCCAGGUUCAAAAGCAGUUGGAGGAAGAGACCCAAGGUUGCUGUGACUGAAGAAUAUAUUCCCAAGUGGCCAGUAUACUGAGAAUAAGCUUUUUCCAUCUUGUUAGCCUGGUCCUCCCCAAGUCUAAUCUGGGUCCCUACUCAAACCUUUACAGUUCUGCAGGCACAGGCUUUUAAGACCCAAGGUCAUGUUCAUGCCUCACGGAAGCAUCAGAGUAUGACUUUUGUGGAAGUUAUGUCUGAGGUGAUUUGGUAAAUAUUUAACAACUGGCUCUCUGUCCCCUUCCCCCAAAGUGUAUAUAUAGGACACACCUUUAAAUUUAAUAUGCAUCCUUUUUAUUAUUUAUUUAUUUAUGUAUGUAUGUAUUUUUUCCCAUAGCUUUCUUAAGUCUGGAC
rnacentral:lncRNA from 1 species